AAACUCUGGAGUUCAAGAGAGUGAUCACCAACAUCGGCAACGGAUACGACCCGGCAACAGGUGGGCAGGGAGUCACUGCGAUACCUAGAUUAGGGUUCGCAGGACCAACUAAAGUCCAGUGUAACCCGGGGGAAAAAACUGCCCUUAGUCCCGCCUUGCAGCUCCAUUGGUUAGAGUGACAGUCGGUCACAGCGCAUUCAGCCAAUUAACACACCUGAGGUAGUUAUUCAGGCUCCAGCUUUCCCCAGUCAGGUGUGAGGGGAGAGCUGAUCAUCCAGAGAGCUCAGAGCCAUGAAGCCGUCAUGCACUGAACUAUAGAUGGAACUGGCCAGGUGACCCUCUGUAGGGUUAAAGGCUGGUCAGCUUCUGACAGCCGGCUGGAGAACCUGAGACUCGCUCCAUCCUGGUCUGGUAGGAGGCUGAUGGCGUCUUCACCGCCCCGGUCAAAGGUCUCUACUACCAGGUCUUCAAAGGCGGCGUUUCAUUCUGCGUCUGGUAGAAGAUGGCACGUGGCGCGCAGUUCAAAGCGCGCUUCAUGAAUGUGAGAUGAGACGUUCCUUCUCAUUCCUCUCUCUGCCCGUCUGAGUCCAACUUCAGCGCGGCGUAAUGAACGGUCCCCUGGGUUUCUCUGGCGUCUCUUCCUCGUUCUUCCGGUCUAACGAGGUUUUUUCUGAUCUAUUAUUCAGAGACAGCAAGCUCACCAUGCUGCUCAGCGAGUCUCUGGGUAACAUCAACUGUCGAACCACCAUGAUCGCCCACAUCUCGGACUCACCGGCCAACUUCAUGGAGACGCUGACCACGGUGCAGCUGGCGUCCCGCAUCCACCGCAUGAGGAAGAAGAGAUCCAAAGUACUUUGUCUGUUACUUCACUUUGUUUCACAGCUUCUGAGAGCAGAACUUGAUAACAAGGAGUUUAUUCUCUGUUGUGUUAUUUAACACAAUGUCUUUUAGAGAUGUGCCGAUCAGGUUUUUUCCUGCCG